AGUGAACUGGUCCCCUUAGCAGCUGACCUCCUCCUCCAGCCCUGUGGCUGCCUCCUCUCCAACAGGGACCCUCCUGGUGGGUAUCCGGAACAGUGCCUUAGUGUUCCGCAAAGGGGAGAGGGAAAAAGAGAGGGCUGUCUCCCAGAAGGGACACCAUCACCAACCCAUCAGGCUGGCAUGCACUCUCAAAUCUACUGCCCCUAGCAACAGGAUGCAGUUCAUGUUCACUAAAAUGACUUAUGAGCUGCUUGCAGCGGGCUGAGUGUUGACGCUGCUCCCUGCCACUGGAAAAAAAGAUAUGCCCACAUCCAGAUCUCAGGAACUCAUGGAUGUGACCUCAUUUGGAAAAGGGGUCUUUGCAGACGUAAUUAAGUUAAGGAUCUUGAGAUGCAGUCAUCUUGGAUUAUCUGUGUGGUCCCUAAAUCCAAUGACAAGUGUCCUUACAAUACACGCAGAGAGGAGAAGCCUGACAGGAGAAGCAGAGAUAAUGACUGGAGACAGGGAUUGGAGAGAUGCAGCCACAAGCCAAGGGAUGCUAACAAGCACCAGAAGCUGGAGGAGGAAGGAAGGAUUUUCCCCCGGAGCCUGCAAAGGGAGUGCAGCCCCGCCCACACUUUGACUUUGGACUUCUGGUCUCUGGAAUGCUUCGAUAAGAAAUGGUUGUUUGAAGCUACCCAGUUUGUGGUAGUUUGUCACAGCAGCCACAGCAAACAAAUCCAGUGCCCUCCACCCUUUUCACCCUGAAACCGCAUGAGGACUGGGUGGAGUAGGCAGGCAGUCUUGGCCAUCCCCAUUUUAGAGAGGAGGGGACACUGAGGUUCAGAGAGGCAGAAGGAGCUGCUUGAGCCACAUAGCCAGUGAGCUUCACCAGUGUCAAGCCUGGAACCUGGCUCUCCUGAGUCCUCCUCCAUGCACUGUCCUUUCUGGAACAUUCUGCCAGCCACCCUGCACCAGGCACUGGUGGCCUGUGAGCUGUGAUUGUCUCUGUAACCAGGACAGGUUUGCAGGGUCCCAAAGCAGCUCCUCCCAAUACCAAGCAAAUGGCUGGUGGGCAUGAGGGCCCAUCUGAGAACAUGGGAAGGAGCAGCUGUCACCGGGGAUCAGGCCCGCCUGACUUCAUUAGCACCCAGCUCCACUGCAUAGCUCAAAGAGAUGUCCCUUUCUUUCUUUCUUUCUUUUUUUUUUUUUUUUUGAGAUGGAGUUUUGCUCUUGUUGACUAGUCUGGAGUGCAAAGGCACAAUCUUGGCUUACCGCAACCUCUGCCUCCUGGGUUCAAGCAAUUCUCUUGCCUCAGCCUCCCAAGUAGCUGGGAUUACAGGCGUGCGCCACCACAUCCCACUAAUUUAGUAUAUUUAGUAGAGACGUGGUUUCUCCAUAUUGGUCAGGCUGGUCUCGAACUCCCAACCUCUGGUGAUCUGCCCGCCUUGGACUCCCAAAGUCCUGGGAUUCAGGCAUGAGCCACUGUGCCCGGCUAGAUGUCCCUUUCAAUAAUGGGGAACCAAACCAGAGGCAGUCACAUCUGCUAGCGAAAGGUGCUAUUUUGAAUAACUUCAGGAUAGAUAUUUGUAAUGCAGACAUACCUGGCAGUCUUACAUUUUUUUCUAUUAAUACAACAAAGUAGGGUUUAACAAACAUCAACAAGCAAAUAAAAAUAAAUAAAUACAUAGGUAAAUGUAAUGGUCUUGUAAUGGUUUGCGGCUGCAUUUGCCUUCACUAAAUGUCCUAUCUGUUGUACAUAUAAAUUGGUUGGAAGGCCCCAUAGGGUAGGAGGCUCUCAUUUAUUGAGUGCUUAAUAUAUGCCUGGCCUCACGCUUUCACCGGAUGUCUCACUGAAUCUCUAUAUCAUUCCCAUUUUUUUUGCACAAAUUAAAGCACCAAGACUCGAGUGCAUUGAGUGGCUCGUACAGGACCACACUGAUAAGGAAUAGAGCCAGGAUUCAACCUGGGCUGGCCUGGUCUGAACCCAAGCUCAUCCUUUGGAUCUAAACCUUUGGUUCUCAAGCCUGGCUCCACACUGAAAGUCCCUGGGGAGGCUAACAUAAUCCUCCACCACUGCCACCCCAGGGGGUCUGAAGUAGCUGGCCAGGGAUGUGGCCCCCGCACUGGGUUUUCCAAACCUUCCCAGGCGACUCAAAUUUGCAGUCAGGGUGAAAGGGCCCUGCUUUAACCCCAUUUCACAAGUUGUUGUACUGCUUCCUCGCUCAGAAAGCCAGGGAGCUGUUAAGAGCUGACGUUUCCUUCCUGAUUUCUACUUUACUAAUCCCAGGUUUCCACCUGUGAGGUAGGGAAGGGAAAUAUACCUGCGAUCCCUUAAAAAUGUUUUUAAAAAGACGGGAUCGAUGGAGUGUGAACUGUGACCUGGACUCUGUGCUAAUUGGGCUCCCUGAAUGGUUUUUAACUUCAUUCUUACAACAAUUCCUCAUUUACAGAGGAGGAAACUGAGGCCCGGAGGGGUGGAGUCAUUUGCACUGGUUGCAGAGUUGGUGGCAGCAGGAUUCAGACUCAGGGUCUCAUCUUCCCUCUGAUAUUGGUAACCUCUCAGCCCGCUGUGUGCUCACCAACACACACAUCUGCCUGCGCAUGUUCAAUUUCUGUCUAUUGAGGUUGUGACGUGGGCCUGAGAGGUGUCAGGGAUGUGAGUGUGUGAAGGGUGAGGGCUGGGGGUCUCCACACCAGCCUCCAGGGCCCCAGGGCAGAGUGUGCUCAGCUGGACUGAGAAGGGGCAGGAGCUGGAUGGGGCCACUGUCCAUCCCUAAGACCGGGCUCCUCUCUCAGCAGGGUCGCCUCUGCCAUCCCUCUGGGCCUAUGCAGGUUUGGCUGCGUCAGGUGACCAGGUGUGUGGUGGGGGGGAGGAUGUGGAAGAACAGAGCAACUCCAAACUCCUUUGCCAUCACUAAAGGGCCCUUCCUGCCUUUAGUUUUAGACCGUUGUAUUCAAUGUGAAGGUUGUUGCUUAUAACAGGAUAACGGUCAUUUAAAAUGUUAAAAGUAAGCAUAUUACCAUUUGUUGAGAGUUUGCUACAUGUAGGAAGCAAGAAUGAGCAAGUGGUAAGAGUCAACACUGUCUUUCCAUCCUCAUAACAUGCCAGGGAGGACGGUAAAAUUAUGCCCAUUAUCCUGAUGAGGAAAACUGAGGCCCGCAACUCACAUUACUUUCUUCAGAUAAUUGCACAGCUAGGAAAUGGCAGGGCUGUGAUUUUUACCUGUGCUAUUAAACAUUUGCCAACUCUGCUGCAAAAGGGAGACUGCUUUUUCAUCUGGCCUUGACUCUUCAGCCAGCCACCUUCCUGCCUAUGCCUCCCAGCUUUGGAGAAAUUAUAGGUGUAGCCUGUGCUUUGGGUUUUGUGCAAGGGCUCGCAAAAGUAUGCUUGCUGGUCUCACACCCUGAAUCAUAGUUUAGCAUUUAAAGUUGGAAACAAUCUCUGUGGUCAUCUAAAUUUAAUCUUUUUGCUGGCAGUUAGGGAAACUAAAGCUCAGGAAGGAAAAGUUCUGGACUGGGGCUUGAACCCUGGUCUCUAGACUUUGCAUCCAGUUCUUCAUCUAUUAGAAGCCUCCUAGGUUCAUUCAUUCAUUCAAUUAUUCACUCAUUCAUUUGUUCAGUCCCUUGAGCAGCAUUUCAGUGAGUUUGCCUAUAUCAUUUCACUUGAUUCUCAAAAAAUAAAAACUCAUGAGAUCAGUUACAUUGUAGCUGAUGAGACAAAGAUGCAGAUGAGGAGACUGAGUUUCAGAGAGGUGAAGCAAGUGGUCCAAGAUCCCAGCAGGCAAGUAGCAGAGGUAGAAUUUGAAGCCAGGUCUUUGGAGAAAAGGGAGGCAGCUGGGGAGUCGGAUGAGGCAACCAGUUGGAGCUGGGUAGUCAGGGCAGCCUUGGCCUUUGGUGAGCUUCGCCUCCAUUUUGGGAGUGAGGGGUGAAGGAAGUCACAGGGCUAGAGUUGCAGGUAGGGGUUGAGCUGGGCUGGUGGGUGAAGGGAGGCCAUGGAAACAGAUAUCCCUGAUGUAGGACCAUGAGAGGGUCGCGGGAUGGCCUUCCUGAGAUGCCUCCAGGCAAGAAUCUGAGGAGACCACACUGAGCACUGCCAUCUAUGGAACCAUACCAGGGCCCCAUGGCUGGGCUCAGCACCUCCUAGGAGUGGCACCAGGUCUGCAUUCAUUGGGUAGGACUAGGGAGGGGCUCAGAGAGGAGGACAGGUGCAGUGACCUGGUGGUUCACAUCCAGUCACUCCUACCUAUUCCGAAGUGUUGAAUUCACAGCAUCGAAGGGCUUAUAGCUUAUCCAGAUUAUUGGGACCAGCAUUUCCCAAAGUGUGUGUGUAGGGGGGGCAAUAGAUGGGGGUGAUUACUUGGGGUCUGCGAGGACAGGGAGAUGGUGCAUAAGCCUGGUUCUAAAUAACAUGUUAAGCAGUGAGGAUUGCAGUCCCUCUUCAGUUCUCCUUCAAGCCUGUGAUCACGCAGGGAGAAGGGUCUCACCUGGGUGCUGGCGUUUCUUUAACACGUCCCCUAACACUUGCCAGUCUCCUUUCACCCACCCUCCAAGUGUUUAGGAAGGACCAGCCUCUAACUAAAGCCUGUAACCUUCCUCAUUCAGUUUUCAUUUUACUUCUACUGUUACCUUCUAUCAGUGGCAAAUGGUCCCAGCUCAUUAAUGACAGUAACAUUAUAAAGACCUCCUUUAGGUUAGUGAUUUAGGUUUUAAGAGGUUGCUGUUUGGGAGACAAGUAUUAAGUCAUGAAUGCUGCAGGCUUCCUAGGCUGUGGCAAUGUUGUGGAAUAGAAGGAAAGUCAGUGCAGGUGGGAGGCAUUGAGCCUGCUGGCCCUCCACUCUGCAAAUGGAGUGUAGAGACAGGGCGGGGUUUGCCCCGAAACGUGCAGGAAGCCAGUCCUCCAGGCUGCCAGCGGACACCUCCCCUACUACCUUUUUCUUCCUGAGGACCUGCAAUGCCUCCCUCUGCACCCUCUGUCAUUUACACACCUGGAAAUGUGUCCUCUUUAUCCCAGCCUCUUCAGACAUUGCUGCAAGUUCUGAUCUUGCCUCAUACUUGAGAAGCCCUCAGUCUUUCGGCAGAUGGCCUGCUGGCGUGUAAGCAGGAAGGUAAACGCCCCCAGUUUCCAUCCCUCACAGCAGGCACCUGUCUGCCCUCUCACGGGACUCCCACUUCCUGGCCAGGCUGCUAUGGAAAUUCCACUCAGUGUCCAGAACUCACCUGUAGCCUCACUUUCUCUAGUACCAUUUCCUGGGGCCCCAGGGUGAAGGCACCCCCGCUUUGCUCUCAGCCCCCUGCGACUCCCACAGCACUUCCCACAGGAUAGCGUGACUAUCUGGUUAUGGGUCCAUCACCCCAUUUUAUUGUGCACACCUUGAGGCAAGUACAGGGCCUUCCUUAAUUUGACAUUCCCAGGACCUGGGCCUGACCCGUGGAAGGUCCAUGGUGAAGACUGUUGAACAGUAAUAAUAGUUGUAACAAUUGCCAUUCACUGAAUACUCCUUGCAUUAGACACUGCGUGAUGGACUUUAUUUAUAUUAUUUUAUUGAAUCCUCAUAGCAGCCUCAAUAAUUAAGAUCAAACACUAUCCCCAUUUUUAUGAAUGAGGACACUGAGCUCAGAGAUGUUUAGUAUCUUGCUCAAGGACACUCAGUAAAAUACAGAACUGAGGCUUGAAACAAAGCAGCUCUGGAGCCAGUGUUCUCAGGAAGCUAGGGGAGGUGCAUGGGGCGGCCACACACACACACACACACACACACACACACACACACACGCGCGUGCGCGCGUGCUCAUACACCCAUACUGAGACUGGAGUGAUGAAUGCACAGGUGUCUUCCCUGCCUCUCCUCCCCCUCUGUUUGCUGUUUGCUCCCACAGCCUCUGUACCUUCCGGGCCCCUGGCUGUGGCUGCCUGUGGGUGCUGCCGCCCUCGCCCUGCAGGCUGGCCUGGCUGCCCACCGGGAGCCCAUUAGUCAAGUCAUCCUAGGCAGAAUUAUGCCUUCACCGAAAUGAUAUCCAGGCCCAGCGGCUGGGCUUGUGUGCAAAUUUGUGCUGAUUUGAUUAGUUUGUUUAGUCAUCGCUGCUGAUGAGAGCGGGCCACGGCCACCAAAUGACAUUCUGCUGCCUGCAACUCUGUAAUCGCUUUUGGAAGGGAUAUUAUGUUAAUAUCUCACACGAGAGUCUCCGAUCAUGCAGGACGAUGGGCGGCCAGGCCUGGGCCAUAUGGUGCAUCCGAGGCCCUCCUUUGUAAUCCUGGGUAAUUGAAAUCCUCUGCCUUAUUCAAACUUGGAAAGCCCACCAUAUGAUGGGUAGCAGAGGGCCCUUUGGCAAUUUACUUGCCAGUCCUUUUGGGGACUUUCUUUGGGGUAUGAUGGCAGUAUGAGCGGAGAUUUAUGCCAGAGAAACUUGACCAUUUUUAGAAACAAAAAUCUCUGGCGCUGGGCGCUGUCGCUCAUGCCUGUAAUCCCAGUACUUUGGGAGGCCGAGGCAGGCGGAUCACGAAGUCAGGAGUCGAGACCAUCCUGGCUAACACGGUGAAACCACGUCUCUACUAAAAAUACAAACAAAAUUAGCGGGGCGUAGUGGCGGG
rnacentral:lncRNA from 1 species